rnacentral:rRNA from 1 species
CCUACGGGUGGCAGCAGUGGGGAAUAUUGCGCAAUGGGCGAAAGCCUGACGCAGCGACGCCGCGUGAGGGAUGAAGGUCUUCGGAUCGUAAACCUCUGUCAGCAGGGAAGAACGGUCACUGUGCUAAUCAGCAGUGAAUUGACGGUACCUGCAAAGGAAGCGCCGGCUAACUCCGUGCCAGCAGCCGCGGUAAUACGGAGGGUGCGAGCGUUAAUCGGAAUUACUGGGCGUAAAGCGCUCGCAGGCGGUAUGUCAAGUCAAGGGGGAAAUCCCCGCGCUCAACGGGGGAACUGCCUUUGAAACUGGCAAACUGGAGUGUGUGAGAGGAUAGUGGAAUUCCGGGUGUAGGAGUGAAAUCCGUAGAUAUCUGGAGGAACAUCAGUGGCGAAGGCGACUAUCUGGCACAUAACUGACGCUGAGGAGCGAAAGCGUGGGUAGCAAACAGGAUUAGAUACCCGUGUAGUC